rnacentral:rRNA from 1 species
AUGGCCAUGGCCAAGGCCUGCUCGACUGUGCUUCCGUGCCUCUUGCUGCUAGCCAUCGUGUCCCUUUCCCUUGCCGCCGCGGACGGCGGCGGCAACAACUCCACCGACCCUGCCGGGCAGGUCCGCCUGAGCUGCGGCUCGUCCGCCUCGGCCACCGACUCCGACGGCCGUGCGUGGGACGGUGACUCCGCGUCCAUGUUCUUGCCGUCGACGAACGCCGGCGUCGCGGCCCGUGCGUCGUAUCAAGACCCGUCGCUGCCUUCUACCGUGCCUUACAUGACGGCGCGCGUGUUCGCGUCGAGCCACACCUACACCUUCCUCGUCCGCCCCGGCCGCGUGUUCCUCCGCCUCUACUUCUACCCGGCCGACUACGGCAACCGCAGCGCCUCCGGCGCCCUCUUCGGCGUCACGGCCGGCGGCGUCACGCUGCUGCAGGACUUCAACGCGUCCCAGACCGCGCUCGCGCUCGACGCCGCCUACCUCGUCCGCGAGUUCUCCCUCAACGUCAACUCGAGCGGGAGGCUGGAGGUUACCUUCGCCCCGUCCCCCGGCGCCUCCUCCCACUACGCGUUCGUGAACGGCAUCGAGAUCGUGCCCACGCCAGACGUGUUCACGAAGCCGGUGCCGACCUUCGCCAACGGGGGGCGCCCGGACCCGAUGCCCGUCCGCGCCGACACGGCCUUCCAGACCAUGUACCGUCUCAACGUCGGCGGCGAGGCCGUCUCUCCGGCUGACGACUCCGGCCGCUUCUACCGCACCUGGGACACGGACAUCCCUUACAUAUUCGGCGCGGCCGGCGGGGUCUCCUUCGAGAAGGACAGCGACGUCACCAUCCGAUACCCGCCGUCCGUGCCGCCGCACAUCGCGCCGGAGGGCGUGUACGCGUCGGCGAGGUCCAUGGGCCCGACUGCGCAGAUCAACCUGAACUACAACCUCACGUGGAUCCUGCCCGUGGACGCGGGGUUCUACUACCUCCUGAGGUUCCACUUCUGCGAGAUCCAGGACCCGAUCACCAGGGUGAACCAGCGCUCCUUCUUCAUCUACAUCAACAACCAGACGGCGCAGGAGCAGAUGGACGUCAUCGCGUGGAGCGGAGGGAUAGGGGUUCCGGUGUACACCGACUACCUCGUCGUCACGACGGGCUCCGGCCAGAUGGAUAUGUGGGUCGCGCUGCACCCGGACCUCAGCAGCAGGCCGGAGUACUACGACGCGAUACUCAACGGCCUCGAGGUGUUCAAGCUCCAGACGUACGGCAGCAACAACCUCGCCGGGGCCAACCCGCCGAUCCCACAGAAACAGUUCUACCAAGGGGAGUCCAAGAGGAAAAGUGCCGUAGCUGCGGCCGUUGGUGGAACGGUCGCCGGUGGCCUCCUUGCGGUGUUGAUCGGCUGCCUAUGCGCGUGCGCUAUUUGCAGACGGGGCAGAAAGGCGACAUCGGUGGUCGUGUGCGAGCCAGAAGCCAUUCCUGAUAAACAAGCCCAUGGUCCCCCUAGCCCAACAAAAAGCUCUGCUUUGUUUAAGUCGGGCCAGACAUAA